GACGAACGCUGGCGGCGUGCCUAACACAUGCAAGUCGUGCGAGAAAGUUCCUUCGGGAGCGAGUAAAGCGGCGCACGGGUGAGUAACACGUAGGUAACCUGCCCCCCCAGUCUGGAACAACUAGAGGAAACUCUAGCUAAUGCCGGAUGAGACCACGAUCCCUUCGGGGGUUGCGGGCCAAAGAUGGCCUCUACUUGUAAGCUAUCGCUGAGGGAUGGGCCUGCGGGCCAUUAGCUUGUGGUGAGGUAACGGCUCACCAAGGCUGUGAUGGCUAGCUGGUCUGAGAGGAUGACCAGCACACUGGGACUGAGACACGGCCCAGACUCUACGGGAGCAGCAGUGGGGAAUAUUGCGCAAUGGCGAAAGCCUGACGCAGCGACG
rnacentral:rRNA from 1 species